rnacentral:tRNA from 1 species
GUUCAUAUAACUUAAGUUUAGAGUAUAGUAUUGAAGCUACUAAUGUAAUAUAUUUAUAUAUUUAUGGACA